UACGUAGGGUGCGAGCGUUGCCCGGAUUUAUUGGGCGUAAAGGGCGCGUAGGCGGCUCGGCACGUCCGUUGUGAAAUCGCCCGGCUCAACUGGGCGGGGUCAGCGGAUACGGCCGAGCUUGAGCAAGCUAGGGGGCAAUGGAACUCCCGGUGUAGUGGUGGAAUGCGUAGAUAUCGGGAAGAACACCAGUGGCGAAGGCGGUUGCCUGGAGCUUUGCUGACGCUGAGGCGCGAAAGCGUGGGGAGCGAUCCGG
rnacentral:rRNA from 1 species